rnacentral:rRNA from 1 species
UACGUAGGGACCGAGCGUUGUCCGGAUUCAUUGGGCGUAAAGGGUGCGUAGGCGGCGCGGUAAGUCGGGUGUGAAAUCUCGGGGCUUAACUCCGAAACUGCAUUCGAUACUGCCGUGCUUGAGGACUGGAGAGGAGACUGGAAUUUACGGUGUAGCGGUGAAAUGCGUAGAUAUCGUAAGGAAGACCAGUGGCGAAGGCGAAUCUCUGGACAGUUACUGACACUGAGGCACGAAGGCCAGGGGAGCAAACGGG